UACGGAGGGUGCGAGCGUUAAUCGGAAUUACUGGGCGUAAAGCGCGCGUAGGCGGUUUGUUAAGUCAGCUGUGAAAGCCCCGGGCUCAACCUGGGAAUUGCAGUUGAUACUGUCCGACUAGAGUACGAGAGAGGGAGGUAGAAUUCCAUGUGUAGCGGUGAAAUGCGUAGAUAUAUGGAGGAAUACCAGUGGCGAAGGCGGCCUCCUGGCUCGAUACUGACGCUGAGGCGCGAAAGCUAGGGGAGCAAACGGG
rnacentral:rRNA from 1 species